rnacentral:rRNA from 1 species
GAUGAACGCUGGCGGCGUGCCUAAUACAUGCAAGUCGAGCGAACAGAUGAGGAGCUUGCUCCUCUGACGUUAGCGGCGGACGGGUGAGUAACACGUGGAUAACCUACCUAUAAGACUGGGAUAACUUCGGGAAACCGGAGCUAAUACCGGAUAAUAUAUUGAACCGCAUGGUUCAAUAGUGAAAGACGGUUUUGCUGUCACUUAUAGAUGGAUCCGCGCCGCAUUAGCUAGUUGGUAAGGUAACGGCUUACCAAGGCAACGAUGCGUAGCCGACCUGAGAGGGUGAUCGGCCACACUGGACCUGAGACACGGUCCAGACUCCUCCGGGAGGCACCAGUAGGGAAUCUUCCGCAAUGGGCGAAGGCCUGACGGAGCAACGCCGCGUGAGUGAUGAAGGUCUUCGGUUCGUAAACCUCUGUUAUUAGGGAAGAACAAAUGUGUAAGUAACUGUGCACGUCUUGACGGUACCUAAUCAGAAAGCCACGGCUAACUACGUG